rnacentral:rRNA from 1 species
AAAGAAAGUAAGCAAGGGCGCAUGGCGGAUGCCUUGGCUCUCGGAGGCGAUGAAGGACGUGAUAAGCUGCGAUAAGCUUCGGGCAGGUGCAAAUAACCUUUGAUCCGAAGAUUUCCGAAUGGGACAACCCGUCAUUCUGAAGGAAUGACAUCUUGCAUAGCAAGAGGCUAACGCAGGGAACUGAAACAUCUUAGUACCUGUAGGAAAAGAAAAUAAUAAUGAUUCCCCUAGUAGUGGCGAGCGAACGGGGAUUAGCCCAAACCAAUGUUGUUACGGCAAUAUUGGGGUUGUAGGACCACGAUGUCGCAAGAAGUUUAGUGAGAAGAACCCUUUGGAAAAUGGGACCAUAGACGGUGAUAGUCCGGUAUUCGAAGCUAAAUGAAGCGUAGUGGUAUCCUGAGUAGCGCGGGACACGAGGAAUCUUGCGUGAAUCUGCCGGGACCAUCCGGUAAGGCUAAAUACUCCCGAGAGACCGAUAGCGAACCAGUACUGUGAAGGAAAGGUGAAAAGCACUUCGAAUAGAAGAGUGAAAUAGUCCCUGAAACCGUGCGCCUACAAGCGGUCGGAGCUGCUUCAGCAGUGACGGCGUGCCUUUUGCAUAAUGAACCUACGAGUUACUUUUUCCGGCAAGGUUAAGGAUCUUGAGAUCCGCAGCCGAAGCGAAAGCGAGUCUUAAUAGGGCGAUUAGUCGGAAGGAGUAGACGCGAAACCAAGUGAUCUACCCUUGGUCAGGUUGAAGGUUAGGUAACACUAACUGGAGGACCGAACCGAUAAGCGUUGAAAAGCUUCCGGAUGAACUGAGGGUGGGGGUGAAAGGCUAAUCAAACUUGGAGAUAGCUCGUACUCCCCGAAAUGCAUUUAGGUGCAGCCUUGGGAAUUACUACUGUGAGGUAGAGCGACUGAUAAGAUGCGAGGGCUUCACCGCCUAUCAAGUCUUGAUAAACUCCGAAUGCGCAGUAGUUCGAUCCCAGGAGUGAGGGCAUGGGUGCUAAGGUCCAUGUCCUAAAGGAGAAGAAUCCAGACCAUCAGCUAAGGUCCCGAAAUAAUUGCUAAGUUGAACUAACGAAGUCAGAUUGCUAAGACAGCUAGGAUGUUGGCUUGGAAGCAGCCAUUCAUUUAAAGAGUGCGUAACAGCUCACUAGUCGAGGAGU